UACGAAGGGAGCUAGCGUUGUUCGGAAUUACUGGGCGUAAAGCGCACGUAGGCGGAUUGCUAAGUCAGGGGUGAAAUCCCGGGGCUCAACCUCGGAACUGCCUUUGAUACUGACAAUCUCGAGUCCGAUAGAGGUGGGUGGAAUUCCUAGUGUAGAGGUGAAAUUCGUAGAUAUUAGGAAGAACACCGGUGGCGAAGGCGGCCCACUAGAUCGGUACUGACGCUGAGGUGCGAAAGCGUGGGGAGCAAACAGG
rnacentral:rRNA from 1 species